UGUUUAUUUGCCACAAGAAAAAAGAUGUGGUAGAUUCAUUUAGGCAAAAGAAGGUGAAGCUAAACUAGAAAAAAUUGAUGUACUUAUUGGUGAAGUUCGUCGUUUAUCUUUGGAAGUGAAGAAAUCUAAUAAUAUUCUUGAAGCAAUUCAGAAAAAUACUAAGAGGAGCGACCAAUAUGACAUUAAGACGGUCAUAUUCCUUCUACUUUUAUUAUUUAUUUUCUUUAAAAUGUUAGCCUAGUAAUGUAGUCAAGUAAGAUAUAUGUAUGUUCGGUUGGUAAACUAAUCACGUAGUAAAUUCUACCUUAUGCUUGUGAAGCACCAUAUGUAUCCUAUUAAGCUCGCUGUAUGUUUUGUUGAAAUUGUCUGUUAUAAUUAACUAUGCAAUAUGAUGUGUCAAGUAUGUUGAACUGUUUGGUGAAUUGAUUUGCAUUUUAUUCCCUUUAUAUUGCUGAUGUGGUUCACAUAAUUGUAGCCUUUUGGUGUGGGUUGCAUGCUUUCAUUGAUGAUUUUUAUAGGUUCCUGUUUCAAAUGUAUUCAUUAUCAGUACUGGUAUUAACCCUAAAGCCAAAUCAUAUUACCUUUUUGAUGGCUAUGCACAUCUCUUUUCUGGGCUUGCUUGUGGUCUUGCUGGGCUUGCGGCUGGAAUGGCAAUUGGUAUAGUUGGUGACGCUGGUGUCAGGGCAAUGGCAGGUCAUGCUUAAAGAAGCAGAUGGCUCUUAUGCCAGUGUUUGUGCAAGCUGACACUUAUAGAAUGGUUUCAAUCCUUCGGAGCAAAAUCCAUAAGCUAUGAUGUAGACCAUUUUGAAGUGCAGAUUGAUUGAUUUGGAGAAAAGGUGCUAUGAACCAUCCGGUGCUUGAGCUCAUUGCAAGCUUUAGCCUUCAUACUAGUGACAAUGUGACUGUUGAAGCAAGUUUGUUGUUGAAUUGUACCAUGAACUCGUUUUAAAUGUACCAGAAAAGUUAAUGUUGACAAAUGUUGCCAAAUGAAUGUAUAGGUUCCUGUUGUAGCUCACUACCUUUGAAAGUGUAACUUGGAUGUUUGUGUUGUGAACAAAUUACUAAAAGUUAAGUUCUAUAAAUUCUUUUCCAAUCGUAUUCUUUUUGUU